AAGCCCUAAUUUCCAAAACCCUAUUCAGUUAACUCACUCCCCGAGCAGAGUCCCCAAACGCUUUCUCCCAAUUUCUGAGAUCUGCGCAAAACCCUAAACCCCAUUUGCGAUUUUGCUUCAAAUUCAGUCACAAUGUCGAUGUCGAAGAGUUCUAAGAUGCUUCAAUACAUCAAUUAUCGUAUGCGUGUUACUAUCCAGGAUGGCCGUCAAUUGAUCGGCAAGUUUAUGGCAUUUGAUCGACAUAUGAAUCUUGUACUCGGCGAUUGUGAAGAGUUUCGUAAGCUUCCUCCUACUAAAGGUUCUAAGGAAGAACGUGAAGAUCGCCGUACACUUGGUCUUCUUCUUCUCAGGGGUGAAGAAGUGAUUUCCAUGACUGUUGAAGGUCCUCCACCUCCGGAUGAUUCUCGUGUUAAAGCUACUGCUGGUGGUGUUUCUGCUGUUCCUGGACCCGGGUUGGGUCGGGCUGCGGGUCGGGGUGUUCCGACUGGUCCGAUGGUUCAUGCUCAGCCGGGUCUUGCUGGUCCUGUUCGUGGUGUUGGUGGACCUGCACCGGGAAUGAUGCAGCCGCAGAUUUCUCGUCCGCCGAUUAAUUACCCGCAGCAGCCUCCUCCUAUGGUUCGACCACCUGGUGGUGGGCCUCCACCUCCAAUGCAAAUGCAAAUGCAAAGACCUGGUGGCCCACCUAUGCCUCCGCCGCCACAGUUCAGGCCUGGUGGUCCUGGACCGUUUCCGCCUCAGUUUGGUCAGAGGCCCAUGGGACCACCACCUCCACAGAUGAUGAGAGGUCCUCCACCACCAGGGUCGCAGCCACCAAGACCUGGAAUGCCUGGUGGGCCACCUCAUCCGGGGAUGCCUCCACCACCUCCUGGUGGGCAAAUUCCAGUCUUUGGACCUCCUCGCCCGGGAAUGCCACCUCCUCCAAAUGCACCUCACCAGCAGAAUCAGCAGCAGUAGAAUCAAUCAUCUCAUGGAAGAUGGCCUGUAUAUGCAAUACUCGCAAAAUAUGAUGAACGCCUUUUUCCCCUCGAAAGAUCACCUGUCUCUGAUCAUUUGGUUGUUGCACUGAAGGUAGUGAUUUUAUAUCAUCCAAACAGGAACUUUUUGAUACUGUUUUGUGUUGAAUUUAAGUUUGUCAAUCUUGAAAUCCAGAUGGUGCGCUGUUAUGAUGUUGUCUCUUGAUGGAUCUGGAAGGUGUGGAUGGAAAUUGCUCUGGUUUUGAAUAUAUAGUGAUAUAGGUUUUGGACAGACAGAGGGCAUGCUCUGUAAAGGUCAAGUAGUCAUUAGCUUCUCCUGCUUACCUCAAUGAUCGUUAUCUUAGGUCCUUUUUUCAGCACUCAGCUAAGGAUUUGGUGUUUGGGCGAUCAAACUAAGGCUAUAUUUGAUGGUGGUUGAGUGAUAUUUGCUUUCAAUGAGCUUGUAAUUGUGCAAGAUAGGAGACUUUAAACUAAUGUUCUUAGCAGUAUUUGUCAAACUUCCUGUCUUUUGAUUUUCAAUAUUGCUUUCUGCUAUGACUUAAUGAAGAUUUCAGUGGGUUGUUCAUUCAACA